ACAAAAACACACAUGAUACUUAAAUAAGAGCAACCAGAUCACAUAAUACAAGCUCUAUCCAUUCCAAUACAGAAGACCAUACUGCUUUACAUGCUCUACAAGUGUAACAAGCUCUACAAUUGUAAUACUAACAAGCUCUACAAGUUCUUAAAUUCAGACUCCUAACAAGCUCUACUAGAUGAACAACAUGCCGGACUCGCUCGACGACCAUAGUCAGGGCUGGGAACAAACAAAACAACAACAUGGCUUCCACUGUCAUCAUGUUACAUGAAUCAGAGAAGAAUUAGAAUAACUGGGGAAAAUAUAUGUCGUAGCUAACAAAGUAAGAAACAAUAGUUAACAAGUCUGAGUCAUAGAAGCUAGAAGUGUCCCUUUGGAGAGACGAGAACUUAGAAUUGAUGCAUGGAUCUUAUUCUAAACAGCAUAAACACCAUGGCAAUAACAAAUUAACAGUAACAAGAUCAGUGUUAGCAGAAUUAAGUACAAGGCAAUCACGGGUACCAAUCCAGUGCAAGUUAAUAGAGAAAAUAUGUCAAAGUUAAUCAGAUUCACUAAUGUGUUUUUCAUACUACCAAAUUGAAGGUAAAAGAUGUGUACUGCAGUGUUAGCAGAAUUAAGUACAAGGCAAUCAUGGGUACCAAUCCAGUGUAAGUUAAUAGAGAAAAUAUGGCAAAGUUAAUCAGAUUCACUAAUGUGUUUUUCAUACUACCAAAUUGAAGGUAAAAGAUGUGUACUGAUUCAACACUGCAAACUGAUUUCUGAAAGCUUUACCAAAACAUUGUUUAGUCGCUUGGUGCUAAAGCGAUAGAUGUUGAACACUAAAUGCCAGCGAUAGUAACAACCAGCAGGUACUGCACCUGCGACCGCCAUCACUAGCUUGGAAGCAAUAAGCACAACAUAGGUAGGAUAGGAAUCAUCCUGGUUGUGUGUUCACGAAUCACCUAAUAGGUGUCGUGCCACAUAAUUGAUUUCCUGAACUCAGUAUGCCACACUUGUCUAUCCCAAAUCAGGGCUCAUGAAUCCUCAUCAAAGUGUGAAAUUUUAC
rnacentral:lncRNA from 1 species